rnacentral:rRNA from 1 species
UACGUAGGGGGCAAGCGUUGUCCGGAUUUAUUGGGCGUAAAGAGCGUGUAGGCGGCUAGGUAGGUCCGUUGUGAAAACUCGAGGCUCAACCUCGAGACGCCGGUGGAAACCAUCUAGCUAGAGUCCGGAAGAGGAGAGUGGAAUUCCUGGUGUAGCGGUGAAAUGCGCAGAUAUCAGGAGGAACACCAGCGGCGAAGGCGGCGCUCUGGGCCGGAACUGACGCUGAGGAGCGAAAGCGUGGGUAGCAAACAGG